rnacentral:rRNA from 1 species
GACAGAGGGUGCAAACGUUGUUCGGAUUUACUGGGCGUAAAGGGCGCGUAGGCGGCCUGUUAAGUCGAACGUGAAAUCCCCGGGCUCAACCCGGGAACUGCGUCCGAUACUGGCAGGCUUGAAUCCGGGAGAGGGAUGCGGAAUUCCAGGUGUAGCGGUGAAAUGCGUAGAUAUCUGGAGGAACACCGGUGGCGAAGGCGGCAUCCUGGACCGGCAUUGACGCUGAGGCGCGAAAGCCAGGGGAGCAAACGGG